rnacentral:rRNA from 1 species
GACGAACGCUGGCGGCGUGCCUAAUACAUGCAAGUAGAACGCUGAAGGAGGAGCUUGCUCUUCUGGAUGAGUUGCGAACGGGUGAGUAACGCGUAGGUAACCUGCCUGGUAGCGGGGGAUAACUACUGGAAACGAUAGCUAAUACCGCAUAACAGUAGAUGUUGCAUGACAUUUGCUUAAAAGGUGCAAUUGCACCACUACCAGAUGGACCUGCGUUGUAUUAGCUAGUUGGUGGGGUAACGGCUCACCAAGGCGACGAUACAUAGCCGACCUGAGAGGGUGAUCGGCCACACUGGGACUGAGACACGGCCCAGACUCCUACGGGAGGCAGCAGUAGGGAAUCUUCGGCAAUGGACGGAAGUCUGACCGAGCAACGCCGCGUGAGGGAAGAAGGUUUUCGGAUCGUAAAGCUCUGUUGUAAGAGAAGAACGAGUGUGAGAGUGGAAAGUUCACACUGUGACGGUAUCUUACCAGAAAGGGACGGCUAACUACGUG